GUCGAGAAUAGUCUACAAUGGUCGAAAGACUGAUAGUGCGACGCCGCGUGAACGAAGAAGCCCUUCGGGGUGUAAAGUUCUUUUAUAUGUGAGCAAUGCCUUUUAUGUGAAUAGCAUGAGAGGAGCGAUAUUAGCAUAUGAAUAAGCAACGGCUAACUCCGUGCCAGCAGCCGCGGUAACACGGGGGUUGCAAGCGUUGUCCGGAAUUACUAGGCGUAAAGGGCAGGUAGGCGGAUAGAUAAGUUUUUUGUCAAAGGCGACGGCUCACCCGUCGAAUGGCAGGAGAUACUGUUUAUCUGGAAUGCGGUUGGGGAAGACAGAAUUCCUGGUGUAGCGGUGGAAUGCGCAGAGAUCAGGAGGAAUACCGAAGGCGAAGGCAGUCUUCUAAGCCGUUAUUGACGCUAAACUGCGAAGGUGUGGGUAUCAAACAGGAUUAGAUACCCUGGUAGUCC
rnacentral:rRNA from 1 species